UUUCUCCUCCCCUUGCUGCUUGCGGCUUGCAUGUGGCUCACCAUGGUUGUAGACUUUGCUGAUCUCAGAUAAACCCACUUUUGCUGGAGAAAUAACUGGCUAUUUGUUUAAGUUCAACAGAUCAUCUAUUCAAAAUCACAGAAGCUAGUAAGUAGAUGGCCUCGAGGAAGCAAACUACCAUGUCGUGGAGAGGGCCACGUGCAGCCAACAGCCAGAGAAGCUAAGGGCCUCCUCAGUCCUACAGUGGGGAGGAACUGAAUGCUGCAAACAGCCAGUGAACUGAGAUGUGGAUUCAACCUCAGAAAAGAUCACAGCCCUGCUCAACACUUCAUUGCAGUUUCGUGAGAUCCUGAGCAGAGGCAUCCAGAGCAGAGGCUCGGCUCUUGAAAGUCAAAAGGGGAGGCCUGGAAUGGAGCAGAAGUUAGAGGUUAUGCCAUGAAAAGGUGACAAUGCAGAUGUUCCUCCGGGCCCAAGCAGCCAAGAGUCAAAUAGAGAGUUCUGGGCUCUUUUGCUUAAGCCAAGGAAUCCAGGCCAUUUAUACAUUGGAAGAAAUAACAGAUCCAGAUUGGAAGCUGUUUCCCAUGACAACUGACUGGUAUGCGAGAUUUUGAGAUUAAUGAUUAUGUUUCACAGGCAGUAACAUUAAGCUUGUGAAGUUCAGAUGUUUCUACCGGUAAUCUCUGGAGGCACUUUUAUGGUUACAAGACAGAGAACACGAUGGUUAUAAAUAUAGGUCUUUACCCAAGGGCUCUCAUUCUUGUGAAUAUUUUCUGCCUCAUCUUACACCUGUGUCAAUACCCUCAUCUCCCUGGAGUUUGUUUUCAAGAACGGUUAAUUAAGCAGCUCUCAGUUUCUGGCAUUAGGCAGGAUUUUAUUAGCCAGUAAGAACAGAAAAAAGAGGGUUUGUGAAAAUGUAGGGCUUACUAAAAAGUAUAGAAAAUUAUAGAUAUAUAUAUGUAUAUUUUUUUUUUGAGGAAGAUAAGCCCUGAGCUAACAUCUGCUGCCAAUCCUCCUCUUUUUGCUGAGGAAGACUGGCCCUGAGCUAACAUCUGUGCCCAUCUUCCUCUACUUUCUAUGUGGGAUGCCUGCCACAGCAUGGCUUGCCAAGCGCUGCCAAGUCCACACCCGGGAUCCUAACCCAC
rnacentral:lncRNA from 1 species